AUGAUCCUCAGCUUGCUGGGGGGAUUAGUGGCGAACGGGUGAGUAACACGUGAGUAACCUGCCCUUGACUCUGGGAUAAGCCUGGGAAACCGGGUCUAAUACUGGAUAUGACCUUCCCACGCAUGUGGUGUUGGUGGAAAGCUUUUGUGGUUUUGGAUGGACUCGCGGCCUAUCAGCUUGUUGGUGGGGUAAUGGCUUACCAAGGCGACGACGGGUAGCCGGCCUGAGAGGGUGACCGGCCACACUGGGACUGAGACACGGCCCAGACUCCUACGGGAGGCAGCAGUGGGGAAUAUUGCACAAUGGGCGCAAGCCUGAUGCAGCGACGCCGCGUGAGGGAUGAAGGCCUUCGGGUUGUAAACCUCUUUCAGUAGGGAAGAAGCUGGUCCUUUUGGGGUUGGUGACGGUACCUGCAGAAGAAGCGCCGGCUAACUACGUG
rnacentral:rRNA from 1 species